rnacentral:rRNA from 1 species
GAUUUGAAAGGUGCAAAUGCAUCACUAAGAGAUGGACCUGCGUUGUAUUAGCUAGUUGGUGAGGUAACGGCUCACCAAGGCGACGAUACAUAGCCGACCUGAGAGGGUGAUCGGCCACACUGGGACUGAGACACGGCCCAGACUCCUACGGGAGGCAGCAGUAGGGAAUCUUCGGCAAUGGGGGCAACCCUGACCGAGCAACGCCGCGUGAGUGAAGAAGGUUUUCGGAUCGUAAAGCUCUGUUGUAAGAGAAGAACGAGUGUGAGAGUGGAAAGUUCACACUGUGACGGUAACUUACCAGAAAGGACGGCUACCAC